rnacentral:rRNA from 1 species
GGCUCAGGACGAACGCUGGCGGCGUGCCUAAUACAUGCAAGUCGAGCGGACAGAUGGGAGCUUGCUCCCUGAUGUUAGCGGCGGACGGGUGAGUAACACGUGGGUAACCUGCCUGUAAGACUGGGAUAACUCCGGGAAACCGGGGCUAAUACCGGAUGCUUGUUUGAACCGCAUGGUUCAAACAUAAAAGGUGGCUUCGGCUACCACUUACAGAUGGACCCGCGGCGCAUUAGCUAGUUGGUGAGGUAACGGCUCACCAAGGCAACGAUGCGUAGCCGACCUGAGAGGGUGAUCGGCCACACUGGGACUGAGACACGGCCCAGACUCCUACGGGAGGCAGCAGUAGGGAAUCUUCCGCAAUGGACGAAAGUCUGACGGAGCAACGCCGCGUGAGUGAUGAAGGUUUUCGGAUCGUAAAGCUCUGUUGUUAGGGAAGAACAAGUACCGUUCG